ACUGACAGCUGGUGUAACCAUUUUAGAGAAAAUGGGAGCUGCACUGCGUGAGGUCCAUGUGAGUGACAGUGGCUGUGGAUAGAGACAUCCCAGAGGUGGAUUAGGAAGUGCGACUCCCUUGUUGGGUAGAGCUGGAAGUGGACCAUAUCGAUCCCUGUGUGAUAGAUCCAGCCCUGUGAGGGAUAAUCUCAGUCCUCUACUAAAGGGGAUACCAGCUGUCAGGAUCCUGCCAGUCAGAAUACCGACGCCGGAAUGCAGGCAACCGGCACUCCGAAUAGGUUCACCGUGACUGCUGGAGAGGGACUACAAUUGAGAACAGUAACCUGUGUCGAGCAAAAUGGUAGCAGUGCAAGCCACCUUGCCCAAAGCACGGCAAGUGAAGCGAGCCCACAAGAGUCUAGGUGCCCGCAGUGAGGGCCGGGGAGAUGAGUCGGAGGUAUCCUGCAGUUGGCCCGGCAAACCGACGCGUCGCCAGGGAAACGGAACGCGUUGCCAAGGUAACCACAGCGGAUGCCGUCUGACGUCACCGGAUGUGACGCACCCGCGGCUGCGGCUGGCGGAAGCACACGCCGGACCCGGCUCUCCCAUGGGGCAGUGACAUGUCUCCUAUUUAGUACAGAUUAUGCUGAUACUCACGUGUCUGAUGUGAGCCUGAAGAUUAUUAAUUCCAAAUGAUCGAAUGACAAACCAGAGUUUGAGGGAGCGGAAUCGGCGACUCAGAGGAAUUUGCCAAUGCUGCCAUUAAAGAAAUACAAUGAAAUACAUAUUUCUGAGGUGUCACACCUUGAAAGGCACAAAAACUCCAAUCAAAACAAACCUAGCCAAUGUAAGUAAGAAGACUGACUUGGAUCAUCCAAGAUUAAGGAGUAAGACGCUACAACCGUGUAGCCUUCUUGUUACUCAGUGUCUGCAAUUUACAGCAUACCUGUUGUACUGCAAUGACAUAUCUAACAAUAAUCCCACAGCCUAAUUGUGUUGUUUGGUUAUUAAUACACAUAUGAUUCUUACUUAAUUAUAAA